GCUUCGUUAGCUCAGUUGGUAGAGCCGAUGGGUCGCGGGUUCGAGUCCCGCACGAAGCA
rnacentral:tRNA from 1 species